GGCCCAUCAAAAAAAAACCAACAUUUUUUUUCAGUUAUGUUGUCUAAGUAUCAAAAUAAAGCAUUCAAGGAUGCCUUGUACAUUCAGUAUUUUAUGCUUCAUGGUCUAGAAUCAUUACUUUGACUUAAUACAGUGUAACAGGUAGUGAAGAGGAAGGCUACUUCAUUUUGAAAGUCCCCAAGCUCUCCUGCCAUGACAUAGUUAAGUAUUCACUACAUGGCUGUUUAUAUCAUUGAAAUCUUUGGUGUAUUUUAUUUUGUAUCACAGUUUUGGAGUAGAUUGAAACUACUCAUAUUAGUCUUGGUAACUAUUGAGAAAAAUGUCAAAACAAAAUGUGCUGGAAUUCAAGAGGGAUUAUAAAUGCACAGAGGGAUAAGAUAGGAACUAGUUAAAGCUUUAACUGUUAUAUGUCAAAAGUUAUUUUCUAAUGGGUUUGAAAUACACUACAUUUUUUCUUUCUCUUUUUUCUUAGUCCAGUAUUGACACAAGGAAAGUGUCAGAGUGUAGGAACUCCUCAGGCUGUUCAGUGGUUCCCUACAUAAAGGGAGAGAAUGCAUUUACUAGUAAAAAGCCUGAACCCAAAAUCUCAGAUGAUAUCAGGCUGAAUUCUGGAGAGCAGCCCACAGGUGACCUCCUUGAAUCCCAAGUGGAGAGUAGCACAGUCUAGUGAUGCUGAACAAAGUGUACUUUCUCUCCUUUCCAAAUACAAGGUAUUUGCUGCCCUUCAUCCUCUCUACCUGCUGGUUUGUAAAGCACUGGCUGCUUUUCAGUUCAUGCAGAAGUACCAACUCUUUCUUUGGGUGUUAGACAUGGAGUGGGUGCACCUUGGACUCUCUCAGAAGAGCUGGAUGCCUGAUUUGAGCAAAUCCCUCGUGGGCUUGUGUUUGAAUGUGCACUAAAAUUUCUCAAGAUAAGACUGCAAAUAAACAGCUUUGCUAUUUUGGCA
rnacentral:lncRNA from 1 species